rnacentral:lncRNA from 1 species
CCGGCUCUGCCCUCGGCGCUCUCGCCCUGGAGAAGCGGCACCAGCGACGCCAUGGACAGCACCGCCACGGUGUAGGCGAACNNNNNNNNNNAGAAGCCGCCAGCCGGGCCGCGCGGCAGGACGGCCGCACCGGCUAAUGAGCUCAUGGCCAUCAUGGUCGCCAUUGAUCAACUGCGGACGGAAGGUGCACGAAAGGGCAGAAAGAAGCUACAGAUGCUGCAACAGGCAAAGAUGAUUGCUAUCGUUGUCGUUGGACGGAAGGUGUUUGCUGAUGUAUUGUUCAGAGCGAGGGGGCACACUUUAUAGGCCGAGCUCUACGCAACCCAGCCCGUGACGAGCUGGGCGCGGUGGCCGCGACGGUGCCCACGUCGCGAGCUGCUCCCGGCCGUGAAAUGAAUAGCCUCUACGUGGAGCAAAGCAGCGACUNNNNNNNNNNCGAGGUGCUCGCCUUGGGUUUGUUUGGCGGUGGUGCGCUCGGGCCCUCGGUCUGUGCCCUGACGACGAGGGCGCGUCGGCCCAGCGCUGGCAGAGACCGGGCGCCGAAGCUGCUGGCCGAGCUGCGCGGCACGACGGCCGCACCGGCGAAGGAGCUCAUGGACAUCAUGGUCGCCAUUGAUCAGCUGCGGACGGAAG